GCACAUUCUGAGGACAAACAGGUACUACCCUUUGCUCAUCCGCCCGCCCGUCCAACCAUAACAUUCAAUUGUAUGCAGUCGCAUUUCAAAGAAACUGAGAGCAUUCAUUCCAAGAUGAAAACAGCCUACCAGAUCAAUUUUGAAUAAAAACAUAAGGAAGUGAUCAAAUUUCUAAAGUCU